UUAAGCGACUAAGCGUACACGGUGGAUGCCCUGGCAGUCAGAGGCGAUGAAGGACGUGCUAAUCUGCGAUAAGCGUCGGUGAGGUGAUAUGAACCGUUAUAACCGGCGAUUUCCGAAUGGGGAAACCCAGUGUGUUUCGACACACUAUCAUUAACUGAAUCCAUAGGUUAAUGAGGCGAACCGGGGGAACUGAAACAUCUAAGUACCCCGAGGAAAAGAAAUCAACCGAGAUUCCCCAGUAGCGGCGAGCGAACGGGGAGGAGCCCAGAGCCUGAAUCAGUGUGUGUGUUAGUGGAAGCGUCUGGAAAGGCGCGCGAUACAGGGUGACAGCCCCGUACACAAAAAUGCACAUAUUGUGAGCUCGAUGAGUAGGGCGGGACACGUGGUAUCCUGUCUGAAUAUGGGGGACCAUCCUCCAAGGCUAAAUACUCCUGACUGACCGAUAGUGAACCAGUACCGUGAGGGAAAGGCGAAAAGAACCCGGCGAGGGGAGUGAAAAAGAACCUGAAACCGUGUACGUACAAGCAGUGGGAGCCUCUUAAUGGGGUGACUGCGUACCUUUUGUAUAAUGGGUCAGCGACUUAUAUUCUGUAGCAAGGUUAACCGAAUAGGGGAGCCGAAGGGAAACCGAGUCUUAACUGGGCGUUAAGUUGCAGGGUAUAGACCCGAAACCCGGUGAUCUAGCCAUGGGCAGGUUGAAGGUUGGGUAACACUAACUGGAGGACCGAACCGACUAAUGUUGAAAAAUUAGCGGAUGACUUGUGGCUGGGGGUGAAAGGCCAAUCAAACCGGGAGAUAGCUGGUUCUCCCCGAAAGCUAUUUAGGUAGCGCCUCGUGAAUUCAUCUCCGGGGGUAGAGCACUGUUUCGGCAAGGGGGUCAUCCCGACUUACCAACCCGAUGCAAACUGCGAAUACCGGAGAAUGUUAUCACGGGAGACACACGGCGGGUGCUAACGUCCGUCGUGAAGAGGGAAACAACCCAGACCGCCAGCUAAGGUCCCAAAGUCAUGGUUAAGUGGGAAACGAUGUGGGAAGGCCCAGACAGCCAGGAUGUUGGCUUAGAAGCAGCCAUCAUUUAAAGAAAGCGUAAUAGCUCACUGGUCGAGUCGGCCUGCGCGGAAGAUGUAACGGGGCUAAACCAUGCACCGAAGCUGCGGCAGCGACACUAUGUGUUGUUGGGUAGGGGAGCGUUCUGUAAGCCUGUGAAGGUGGCCUGUGAGGGUUGCUGGAGGUAUCAGAAGUGCGAAUGCUGACAUAAGUAACGAUAAAGCGGGUGAAAAGCCCGCUCGCCGGAAGACCAAGGGUUCCUGUCCAACGUUAAUCGGGGCAGGGUGAGUCGACCCCUAAGGCGAGGCCGAAAGGCGUAGUCGAUGGGAAACAGGUUAAUAUUCCUGUACUUGGUGUUACUGCGAAGGGGGACGGAGAAGGCUAUGUUGGCCGGGCGACGGUUGUCCCGGUUUAAGCGUGUAGGCUGGUUUUCCAGGCAAAUCCGGAAAAUCAAGGCUGAGGCGUGAUGACGAGGCACUACGGUGCUGAAGCGACAAAUGCCCUGCUUCCAGGAAAAGCCUCUAAGCAUCAGGUAACAUCAAAUCGUACCCCAAACCGACACAGGUGGUCAGGUAGAGAAUACCAAGGCGCUUGAGAGAACUCGGGUGAAGGAACUAGGCAAAAUGGUGCCGUAACUUCGGGAGAAGGCACGCUGAUAUGUAGGUGAAGCGACUUGCUCGUGGAGCUGAAAUCAGUCGAAGAUACCAGCUGGCUGCAACUGUUUAUUAAAAACACAGCACUGUGCAAACACGAAAGUGGACGUAUACGGUGUGACGCCUGCCCGGUGCCGGAAGGUUAAUUGAUGGGGUUAGCGGUAACGCGAAGCUCUUGAUCGAAGCCCCGGUAAACGGCGGCCGUAACUAUAACGGUCCUAAGGUAGCGAAAUUCCUUGUCGGGUAAGUUCCGACCUGCACGAAUGGCGUAAUGAUGGCCAGGCUGUCUCCACCCGAGACUCAGUGAAAUUGAACUCGCUGUGAAGAUGCAGUGUACCCGCGGCAAGACGGAAAGACCCCGUGAACCUUUACUAUAGCUUGACACUGAACAUUGAGCCUUGAUGUGUAGGAUAGGUGGGAGGCUUUGAAGUGUGGACGCCAGUCUGCAUGGAGCCGACCUUGAAAUACCACCCUUUAAUGUUUGAUGUUCUAACGUGGGCCCCUUACCGGGGUUGCGGACAGUGUCUGGUGGGUAGUUUGACUGGGGCGGUCUCCUCCUAAAGAGUAACGGAGGAGCACGAAGGUUGGCUAAUCCUGGUCGGACAUCAGGAGGUUAGUGCAAUGGCAUAAGCCAGCUUGACUGCGAGCGUGACGGCGCGAGCAGGUGCGAAAGCAGGUCAUAGUGAUCCGGUGGUUCUGAAUGGAAGGGCCAUCGCUCAACGGAUAAAAGGUACUCCGGGGAUAACAGGCUGAUACCGCCCAAGAGUUCAUAUCGACGGCGGUGUUUGGCACCUCGAUGUCGGCUCAUCACAUCCUGGGGCUGAAGUAGGUCCCAAGGGUAUGGCUGUUCGCCAUUUAAAGUGGUACGCGAGCUGGGUUUAGAACGUCGUGAGACAGUUCGGUCCCUAUCUGCCGUGGGCGCUGGAGAACUGAGGGGGCUGCUCCUAGUACGAGAGGACCGGAGUGGACGCAUCACUGGUGUUCGGGUUGUCAUGCCAAUGGCACUGCCCGGUAGCUAAAUGCGGAAGAGAUAAGUGCUGAAAGCAUCUAAGCACGAAACUUGCCCCGAGAUGAGUUCUCCCUGACUCCUUGAGAGUCCUGAAGGAACGUUGAAGACGACGACGUUGAUAGGCCGGGUGUGUAAGCGCAGCGAUGCGUUGAGCUAACCGGUACUAAUGAACCGUGAGGCUUAACCUUACAA
rnacentral:rRNA from 1 species